rnacentral:rRNA from 1 species
AACGAACGCUGGCGGCAUGCCUAACACAUGCAAGUCGAACGAGACCUUCGGGUCUAGUGGCGCACGGGUGCGUAACGCGUGGGAACCUGCCCUUAGGUUCGGAAUAACUCCCCGAAAGGGGUGCUAAUACCGGAUAAUGUCUUCGGACCAAAGAUUUAUCGCCUUUGGAUGGGCUCGCGUUGGAUUAGCUAGUUGGUAGGGUAAAAGCCUACCAAGGCGACGAUCCAUAGCUGGUCUGAGAGGAUGAUCAGCCACACUGGGACUGAGACACGGCCCAGACCCCUACGGGGGGGAGGAGUGGGGAAUAUUGGAAAAUGGGGGAAAGCCUGAUCCCACAAUGCCGGGUGGGGGAUGAAGGCCUGAGGGUUGGAAAGCUUUUUUACCCGGGAUGAUAAUGACAGUACCGGGAGAAAAAGCUCCGGCUAACCCCG